UACGGAGGGUGCGAGCGUUGUCCGGAUUUAUUGGGUUUAAAGGGUGCGUAGGCGGCUUUUUAAGUCUGGGGUGAAAGCCCGCUGCUCAACAGCGGAACUGCCCUGGAUACUGGAGAGCUUGAGAGUAGAGGAGGUUGGCGGAAUGGACAGAGUAGCGGUGAAAUGCAUAGAUACUGUCCAGAACCCCGAUUGCGAAGGCAGCUGACUACACUACAUCUGACGCUGAGGCACGAAAGCGUGGGGAGCGAACAGG
rnacentral:rRNA from 1 species